rnacentral:rRNA from 1 species
UUACGCUGUUAUCCCUAAGGUAAUUUAGUUUUAUAAUCAAUAUAAAUGGGUCAAAUACAUAUAAAUAAAUAUAAAAUAAAUAAAAAGAGUUAAUUAAAUCUUUCCAUCACCCCAACAAAAUAAAUUUUUACAUUAGAAAUUUUCAUACAAAAAAAAUAAAAAUAUAUAAAACUCUAUAGGGUCUUCUCGUCCCAAAAAAACAUUUAGGCAUUUUAACCUAAAAUUUAAGUUCAAAAAAAAAAUAAAGACAGUUAACACCUCGUCAAACCAUUCAUUCCAGCCUACAAUUAAAAGACUAAUGAUUAUGCUACCUUUGCACGGUCAAAAUACCGCGGCCCUUCAAUAUUCAGUGGGCAGGCCAUACAUCAAAAUAUAUCCAAGAAGAGAUGUUUUUGAUAAACAGGCG